rnacentral:rRNA from 1 species
GAUGAACGCUGGCGGCGUGCUUAACACAUGCAAGUCGAACGGAAAGGCCCAAGCUUGCUUGGGUACUCGAGUGGCGAACGGGUGAGUAACACGUGGGUGAUCUGCCCUGCACUUCGGGAUAAGCCUGGGAAACUGGGUCUAAUACCGGAUAGGACCACUUCUUGGAUGUUGUGGUGGAAAGUUUUUUCGGUGUGGGAUGAGCUCGCGGCCUAUCAGCUUGUUGGUGGGGUAAUGGCCUACCAAGGCGUCGACGGGUAGCCGGCCUGAGAGGGUGUACGGCCACAUUGGGACUGAGAUACGGCCCAGACUCCUACGGGAGGCAGCAGGGGGGAAUAUUGCGCAAUGGGCGCAAGCCUGAUGCAGCGACGCCGCGUGGGGGAGGACGGCCUUCGGGUUGUAAACUCCUUUCGCUAGGGACGAAGCGUUUUGUGACGGUACCUGGAGAAGAAGCACCGGCUAACUACGUG